AGGUAUUAUCAGUUCCGGUUUAUCCCAUGAAUGUAAAGAACUAAUUGACAAUAAUUGGAAUCAGUUUAAGCCACGAUGCCCAGAUAUGCCAACACAAAUAUUUACGCGUAAAAACAAUGAAAAGAUCGCACUCGAAAAAUGUUUGAAUCGUCUAGCACAUCUAAACCAUCAAGACGCUAAAUUUGUGCUUGUAAAGAUGCAUCGCGCUUGUUAAUUCCUCAGCUGAAAUCAUCAAAAUCACAUUACCGCAAAAUACCUACCAUUGGUAUUGUGAUUUUUUGAUAUAUAAGAAAAAGAUGAAGA